CACGUAGGGUGCGAGCGUUGUCCGGAAUUAUUGGGCGUAAAGAGCUCGUAGGCGGUGUGUCGCGUCGGCCGUGAAAACCUGCAGCUUAACCUUGGGCGUGCGGGCGAUACGGGCAGACUGGAGUACUGCAGGGGAGACUGGAAUUCCUGGUGUAGCGGUGGAAUGCGCAGAUAUCAGGAGGAACACCGGUGGCGAAGGCGGGUCUCUGGGCAGUAACUGACGCUGAGGAGCGAAAGCGUGGGGAGCGAACAGG
rnacentral:rRNA from 1 species